GGUCUCAAAAUAGACGUUUGCCUUUUUACCCUUGGCCGCCUUGACCAGUUAAAAAAAGGUUCCCGUUUUCAACUUUUAUUUGACAGGAUAGCAACGCUGUGACGCCUAGUAACGCUAUAACUUGGUAACCAACUUACUCGUUAUAAGGGUUUCGUCUGCGGCCGUGGGUGGUUUCAAGGCCACAAACGUUCUGUUUUUUUCUCUCUCGAGGCCGUAUAUAAUUUCCGCAAAGCCGAUUUCCGCGGUUAAUUCGGCCGGCGACUUCCUCUAACUUGGGCUGGUACUUAAACACUCUAGGCAAUGAUUGUUCAAGUUUCCACUGUACGCACAGCCUACAGAUGGACCACUGGGUUUGCAAGACUGCGAUCUGAAGGAUGGCCCCCACAGUUGACUGCAACUCUUAUGGCAAUAAUUGGAAUCGGAAUGUCUUCCUUCAGUGCUGCACAGAUGUCUGCAGUGCCAGCUUCACCCAACAAAAAAUACUUCCCGAGAGGACCAUGGAAUUGAAACUAGACCACUUAUAAAAUUUAAUUAUGACAAUGAACAAUGAUCGACCUUUCUUGGUGCCAUGGGUUUUCAAUCAUACAAUAUCAUGUAUCGCUUAUUUAUAAGUGCUGCACAAUAACCAAACUGAUGUUUCCAUUAUUGAACGAAUACAAUUGUUAGUCUUCUUA
rnacentral:lncRNA from 1 species